rnacentral:rRNA from 1 species
UGGGGGAUAUUGCACAAUGGGCGAAAGCCUGAUGCAGCGACGCCGCGUGGGGGAUGAAGGCCUUCGGGUUGUAAACUUCUUUUGCUCUGAACAAGGCGCACCAUGGGGUGUGUUGAGUGUAGGGGUUGAUUAGCGCCGGCUAACUACGUGCCAGCAGCCGCGGUAAUACGUAGGGCGCGAGCGUUGUCCGGAAUUAUUGGGCGUAAAGGGCUUGUAGGUGGCUGGUUGCGUCUGUCGUGAAAGCUCAUGGCUUAACUGUGGGUUUGCGGUGGGUACGGGCUGGCUUGAGUGCAGUAGGGGAGGCUGGAAUUCCUGGUGUAGCGGUGGAAUGCGCAGAUAUCAGGAGGAAUACCGGUGGCGAAGGCGGGUCUCUGGGCUGUUACUGACACUGAGGAGUGAAAGCAUGGGGAGCGAACAGG